rnacentral:lncRNA from 1 species
AGGAAAGUAGUUAGGAGGCCUAUAUAUAUGGCUUGGUCGGCCACCUUUAUACAUUAGACAUUAAAUUUCAGAUUUUUGUUGAGUGAAAAUUCUCUUAGAGUUUCUCCAAGAAUUCUCUAUUAAGUUUUCUUUAGAAGUAAUUUUAACAAUCUUUUUUAUUGUGGGAGCCAUCUUCGGCCUUCUUUUUGCCGUGUGCUUACAUCGGAGGGGAGAUUAGAGCCGUUUGAAGGGAGUUGUGAAAUCUUUUUCGAUUUUAAGGCUUCUUAGGACUUUUCUUAUCUUUAUUGUUGUUUGUUUUUCUUUAGAUUUUUCUGCUUGUGCCGAUUCAUUGAUUAACUUGUUUUAUUCAUUCUUGUUGCGUUUCCAUCCCUUUUCAAUCUUCAAGAAGUUGAUCGGCACCUUUCUUGGCAGCAAGAAAACGUUUUCUAUUCAUAAUUUGCAAUUGAUCUUGCCGCCCAAUUAUCCUAUCUCUGAUUCAAUUCGGUUUGCUGAGUUUUUGAAUUGACUUGCUGUUUUGUGUUCAAUUGUCAGAUUCGGCUGAUUGGAUUAUUUCUUGAAGUUCAAUUUCGUGUUCUUGGCUUCCAAGAAUCCCCUAUUAAUAAGUGUUUCGAUUCUUGGCUGAUUCUUUAUUGUUUUGGGGUUUUUGUUUCAGAUUUGGAAUUCUAAGAUUUAACUUUUCUGUUUCGUUUCAGAUCUCAGCGUCUAAAGCUUUCGUAGGAUUUUCCCAUGACUUGACAACUCGAUCUUGGUCCACGCGCAACCCUCUAUCACAACAUAACUUACUUUAUAAAGUAAUGUACGUUAGUCAUUAUCCAACUGAAUUGAUGUUUAGUUAACUCGUGACGUAGGGGCGAAGUCAGAAUUUUUUCUAAAGGGGGAAGAGAUUAAGUUAUAUACUUUUAUAAGAGUUCAAAUGCAAUUUAACCCUUAUAUUGGCUUAUAUCUUCAUGGUUUUCAAAAGGACUAAAUUGAAAUUCUAGCAUUUUUAGGAGGUCAAACUAUAAUUUAUCACAUAUUGACUUAAAAUUUUAUAAAUUUUUGGGGGCCUAAAGAAGUAAUUUCUCAUUUUAGUUCGCUCAUGUCAUGACACUAACUUAGUUAAUGACUUAAUAUAUAGUAUAGAUGACAUUGUUACUAUUUUAAUUUAUUUUUUACGGUUUAACUUAGUUUCACCCUUCAAUUUAAUUUUAACUCAGUUGUGAAAUUACUAAAAAUGUAUUACUUUUAAUAAACAAAUAUUAUAUUGAGAAUAUUUUUAUUUUAAAUAAUUUAAAAAAACACAUAAACAUGCAAAUUAAAAUUUAUGUCAAAAAUUAUUUUCAAUGUUUAUAGCAAUUUCAGCUUUUUAUUUAUUUAUUUAAAUUUGCACCAGUCUUAGGACAUUAUUUGGCGAAUAGGAAUCUUCUUUCCAUAAAAUUCAAAGAUGGAAAAGAAAUAUUCCGCAGCUUUUGGGUACCACUUUCUAAAUUUCCUAAUUUAUUGUCGUUUUCACGUGCUCGAAGAUUCCGGGGUGCUAUCAUCUUCCUCUAGUGUAACCGACUUCCGAAUUUAGUUUUAUUUCAAGUAACCGAGACUUUGAGAUUAUGAUGAGAAAAAAAUUUAAAAAUUCUCUACUUAAUAUAAUUUCAUAAGUAGACAAUCAUGCCUAUCUCAAAAGAUUAGUACAGACUCUUUUGCGUAAUUGGUUCG